GACGAACGCUGGCGGCGUGCUUAACACAUGCAAGUCGAACGGAAAGGCCCUGCUUUUGUGGGGUGCUCGAGUGGCGAACGGGUGAGUAACACGUGAGUAACCUGCCCUUGACUUUGGGAUAACUUCAGGAAACUGGGGCUAAUACCGGAUAGGAGCUCCUGCUGCAUGGUGGGGGUUGGAAAGUUUCGGCGGUUGGGGAUGGACUCGCGGCUUAUCAGCUUGUUGGUGGGGUAGUGGCUUACCAAGGCUUUGACGGGUAGCCGGCCUGAGAGGGGGACCGGGCACAUUGGGACUGAGAUACGGCCCAGACUCCUACGGGAGGCAGCAGUGGGGAAUAUUGCACAAUGGGCGGAAGCCUGAUGCAGCAACGCCGCGUGCGGGAUGACGGCCUUCGGGUUGUAAACCGCUUUCGCCUGUGACGAAGCGUGAGUGACGGUAAUGGGUAAAGAAGCACCGGCUAACUACGUG
rnacentral:rRNA from 1 species